rnacentral:piRNA from 1 species
UGAGAAUCUAAUGCCUGAUGAUCUGUUGC